rnacentral:rRNA from 34 species
GGUUGACCUCGGAUCAGGUAGGGAUACCCGCUGAACUUAAGCAUAUCAAUAAGCG